UCUCUUCUGUUCCUGAACGGU
rnacentral:miRNA from 1 species